CGACCAAACUCCCCACUAUUCAUUCACAAACUAACCAAACCCACUAAUUAUCAAGUCAGACAACUGCUUCAGAUCUAUUCUUCGAUCACAAGUGCUCCUAACUGUCUAUGAAACAUUUGUUCCAAUAAAUUUGAUCGUCUUCGUCGAUCUCACUUCAUCAGAAUUGUGUAUUUAGAAAGGUGCCAUUUUCUGAAAAUUUUGAUUCUUCAAUCUCAUCCACGAACUGCGCACAACCAAGAAGACUCAACGCUAAGAAAAUGGUUGAGAUGGCAAGUGAUGCUAUUAACAAUCUUACCUUAAGAAAAUGAUACCCUUAUAUGAUCCAACAAAGAUGAGAAGGAGUACAGACCCAAACCACAUAAUUUUGAUGCAUUUACACAAGACUCCACAACAUACCUAUGAGCUUUCACAGAAGUUCAUUACAGACCAUACGCAGGUACUUCUGUACAUCAAUGCUUUAAUUAUCCAGCUAUUAAACUUACAACUGAUAAUGCAAAACAGUGCCUGCAUCUGUAUUUUUCGACAAAAAGGGUCUCUUAGUGCCAUUGGACCAGGACAUAUGCUUAAUGAGAUAUGUACAGAUUAGACCAAGGUCCAAAUCCAGUUAGCAUUUUUGUUAAAAAUUGCUUUAGUGGAUGGCUUGGCAUUGUUAGGAUCACUUGGGAAAUGUAGUGUUUGUGGAGCUACUUGAAACUGGUGGUGCAGUAACAAAGAGAAUGGAUUUGAAGCUGGAGAGGGUGAAGGAAACAAGUGACAUCGACACCCCUGUUUCUGAUGAAAUUGUAAAGGUCAAUAUCAGGUUCACUGAACAGUGUGAACACCCAUGAUUUUUAACGUCAGCGCAAACAAGCGGUCGCGGAUGUGACCCACUGCCCUUAAAUACGUUGUUUGUGCAUGACAAAACUGGACAGCACAAACAUUGCUCAAAGACAGAGGCUCACCAUGAUCACAUCCUAACUGCGCCUAUGUUUUUAUGUUGUUAAAUUAAUUCAAGUCCUUAUGGCUUAUGAAGAUGGACUGAUGAUCAAAGUGAAACCAUCAAGUCUAGAUGUACUUGACUUUUUGAUGGAUCUGAAGGGUUACACCAAGUUCUGAGAGGAAGAAGAUGCCAGCCAUUAAGAUGUCUAACAUAAUGGGUACCUUUCCUGUCUAAAUCUUAUAAUAGAAUUUUAAUUUGGAGUUAACUAAUUGAUAUUUUUGUAUCUGUUAUCAAUAAUUAUUUCAAUGAAAAAUAGUCUGC